rnacentral:rRNA from 1 species
UAAUACUAAUUAUUAUAUAUCUACUUUUUUUCACUAAUUCUUUUUGAGGAUAAGCUCAAAGAGAAAGUUAAGAUAUUUAUGAUUAUAAGCCGCCGUGUGGGCUUAAAAUUGGCCACCACAAAAGUUUGUUAUAAAAUAACGGUUUCAACUCAAAAAAUAAAUAUAUUUUAAUCUAACUUCUUACGGAAAUAAAAUCUUUAACUAAAGUAAGUUUUAUACCUAUGCUAGGAUGAGUAUUAUAAACUAAUAUUAAACAUGAAAAUAUUUCUUCAGUAAAAAUUAUUCAAACAAACUAAUUAAUUAAAAGGAACUCGGCAAAAUUAGUUGCUUCGCCUGUUUAUCAAAAACAUGGCUCUCUGCUUAUGUAAAUAUAGAGAGUCGAGCCUGCCCAGUGAAUUUUCAACGGCCGCGGUACUCUGACCGUGCAAAGGUAGCAUAAUCAUUUGCCUUAUAAUUGAAGGCUAGUAUGAAUGGUUUGACGAGAGCAACGCUGUCUCUUUUUUAUUUUCAAGAACUUAACUUUUAGGUGAAGAGGCCUAAAUUUUAUUGAAGGACAAGAAGACCCUGUCGAGCUUAAAAGAUAUUAUAGAAGUGCAUAUAUUUUUAAAUAAAUUUUCUAUUCAGCUUUUUAGUUGGGGCGACUAAGGAACAAAAAAAGCUUCUUAUUAAUAAUAAACACUCAUGUUUAGAUCCGGCAAUAACCGAUCAAAGGAAUUAGUUACCGCAGGGAUAACAGCAUAAUCUCUCUUGAGAGACCUAAUCGAAAGAGGGGGUUGUGACCUCGAUGUUGGACUAGAA